rnacentral:rRNA from 1 species
UACGUAGGUGGCAAGCGUUGUCCGGAUUUACUGGGCGUAAAGAGCGCGCAGGCGGUCGUUCAAGUCGGGUGUGAAAGCCCCCGGCUCAACUGGGGAGGGUCACGCGAUACUGAUCGACUCGAAGGCAGGAGAGGGUAGUGGAAUUCCCGGUGUAGUGGUGAAAUGCGUAGAUAUCGGGAGGAACACCAGUGGCGAAGGCGACUACCUGGCCUGUUCUUGACGCUGAGGCGCGAAAGCUGGGGGAGCAAACGGG